rnacentral:rRNA from 1 species
CACGUAGGGGGCAAGCGUUGUCCGGAUUUAUUGGGCGUAAAGAGCUCGUAGGCGGCUCAGUAAGUCGGGUGUGAAACCUCCAGGCUCAACCUGGAGACGCCACCUGAUACUGCUGUGGCUAGAGUCCGGUAGGGGAGCGUGGAAUUCCUGGUGUAGCGGUGAAAUGCGCAGAUAUCAGGAGGAACACCAGCGGCGAAGGCGGCGCUCUGGGGCCGGAACUGACGCUGAGGAGCGAAAGCGUGGGUAGCAAACAGG